UGCGCACCGAGUUGAAGGUGUACACCUUGUAGAGCUUCUCCUCCGGCACCUCGCUGCGCACGGCGUGGUAAUCCUGCUUCAGUCCUCAUUUUGAACUGACUACUCUGUGCCCAGCCAUUCCUAUGCUAGAUAAUUGCUCCCAGCCAACAGCAGCCUUCUCUAUCCUUCAGGAAUUUUCAAGCCAAUACUUGAGCAGACUAUGGAAAUGAUGUUAGACAAGAAGGAAAUUUGAGCGAUUUUCUUAUUUGAGUUCAAAAUGGGUCGUAAAGCAGUGGAGACGACUUGCUACAUCAACAACAUUUGGUACAGGAACUGCUAAUGAACAUGCAGGGCAGUGGUGGUUCAAGAGGGAAAUGAGAACCUUGAGGAUGAGGAAUGUAGUGGCUGGCCACCAGAAGCUGACAAUGACCAACUGAGAGCCAUCACUGAAGCCAAUCCUCUUACAAGUAAAUAAGUUGCCGAAGAACUUAACAUUGACCAUCCCACGGUCGUCUGGCAUGUGAAGCAAAUUAAAAAGGUGAAAAAGCACGCUAAGUGGGAGCCUCGUGAGCUGACUGAAAAUCCAAAACCUGUCAUUCUGAAGUGUCAUCUUCUCUCAUUCCACAAAACAACAACGAACCAUUUCUCGAUUGGAUUGGGAUGUGCGACGAAAAGUGGAUUUUACACAAUAACCAGCGAUGGCCAGCUCAGUGAUUGGACUGAGAAGAAGUCCCAAAGUAUUUCUCAAAGCCAGGCUUGCACCAAAAAAGGGCCACAGCCGCUGUCUGGCGGUCUGCUGCCGGUCUGAUCCACUAAACUUUUCCAAAUCCUGACGAAACCAUUACAUCUGAGAAGUAUGCUCAGCAAAUCAACACGAUGCACAGGAAACUCCCACACCUGCAGCUGGCACCGGUCAACAGAAGGGGCCCAGUUCUUCUCCACAGCAACACCCAACUGCAGGUCGCACAAGCAACACUGCAAAAACUGAACAAAUUGGGCUACAAAGUUUUGCCUCAUCCACCAUAUUCACCUGUUCAAAGUUCAA